rnacentral:SRP_RNA from 1 species
GCUGGGUGUGGUGGUGUGCACCUGUAAUCCCAGCUACUUGGGAAGCUGAGGCAGAAGAAUCGCUUGAACCCGGGACGCAGAGGUUGCAGUGAGCUGAGAUCGCGCCACUGCACUCCAGCCUGAGCGACAGAGUGAGACUCUGUCUCAA